AUGGCUACUGUAGCAGACAUUGGUGUUUCAGCUGCUAUCAACAUACUAUUAGCUUUUGCAUUCUUGAUAGCAUUUGCUUUACUCAGAAUUCAACCCAUCAAUGAUAGAAUUUAUUUCCCAAAAUGGUAUAUCACUGGUGGAAGAACCAAUCCAAGAAGUUCUGGAAAUUUUGUUGGAAAAUUUGUCAAUCUUAAUUUCAAGACUUAUUUGACUUUUCUCAACUGGAUGCCACAAGCUUUGAGAAUGACUGAGACUGAGAUCAUUAAUCAUGCUGGUCUUGAUUCUGCUGUUUUUCUCAGAAUUUAUGCUCUUGGCUUAAAGAUUUUUAUUCCAGUGACAAUUGUGGCACUCUUUAUUCUUAUUCCAGUCAAUGUUUCAAGUGGGACACUAUUUUUCCUUAGAAGAGAAUUGGUAGUGAGUGAUAUUGAUAAACUCUCCAUAUCAAAUGUUCCACCUAAAUCUUUAAG